GUCGGUCUCAGGUGUAUUACAUACUCAAUAAGGAACCGGGUGCGAUUCCCGGACGAACCCGUCACCGUGUUCGGUUGUCCCCCCUCCCCCGCUCCGCCGCGGGGCGUCCAUUGGCUAUUGGCUGAGAAGGCGAGGAGCGGACGUUAACCGUAAGCCGGGAGACUUGCCUGAAAG
rnacentral:ncRNA from 1 species